rnacentral:rRNA from 1 species
ACGAACGCUGGCGGCACGCUUAACACAUGCAAGUCGAACGAGAGAAGAGAAGCUUGCUUUUCUGAUCUAGUGGCGGACGGGUGAGUAACACGUGAGCAAUCUGCCUUUCAGAGGGGGAUACCGAUUGGAAACGAUCGUUAAUACCGCAUAAUAUAAUUGAACCGCAUGAUUUGAUUAUCAAAGAUUUAUCGCUGAAAGAUGAGCUCGCGUCUGAUUAGCUAGUUGGUAAGGUAACGGCUUACCAAGGCGACGAUCAGUAGCCGGACUGAGAGGUUGAUCGGCCACAUUGGGACUGAGACACGGUCCAGACUCCUACGGGAGGCAGCAGUGGGGAAUAUUGCACAAUGGAGGAAACUCUGAUGCAGCGAUGCCGCGUGAGGGAAGAAGGUUUUAGGAUUGUAAACCUCUGUCUUCAGGGACGAAAAAUGACGGUACCUGAGGAGGAAGCUCCGGCUAACUACGUGCCAGCAGCCGCGGUAAUACGUAGGGAGCGAGCGUUGUCCGGAAUUACUGGGUGUAAAGGGAGCGUAGGCGGGAUCGCAAGUCAGAUGUGAAAACUAUGGGCUUAACCCAUAAACUGCAUUUGAAACUGUGGUUCUUGAGUGAAGUAGAGGUAAGCGGAAUUCCUAGUGUAGCGGUGAAAUGCGUAGAUAUUAGGAGGAACAUCAGUGGCGAAGGCGGCUUACUGGGCUUUAACUGACGCUGAGGCUCGAAAGCGUGGGGAGCAAACAGGAUUAGAUACCCUGGUAGUCCACGCCGUAAACGAUGAUUACUAGGUGUGGGGGGACUGACCCCUUCCGUGCCGCAGCAAACGCAAUAAGUAAUCCACCUGGGGAGUACGACCGCAAGGUUGAAACUCAAAGGAAUUGACGGGGGCCCGCACAAGCAGUGGAGUAUGUGGAUUAAUUCGAAGCAACGCGAAGAACCUUACCAGGUCUUGACAUCGUAUGCAUAGCUCAGAGAUGAGUGAAAUCUCUUCGGAGACAUAUAGACAGGUGGUGCAUGGUUGUCGUCAGCUCGUGUCGUGAGAUGUUGGGUUAAGUCCCGCAACGAGCGCAACCCUUACUGUUAGUUGCUACGCAAGAGCACUCUAGCAGGACUGCCGUUGACAAAACGGAGGAAGGUGGGGAUGACGUCAAAUCAUCAUGCCCCUUAUGACCUGGGCCUCACACGUACUACAAUGGCUGUCAACAGAGGGAAGCAAAGCCGCGAGGUGGAGCAAACCCCUAAAAGCAGUCUUAGUUCGGAUUGUAGGCUGCAACCCGCCUACAUGAAGUCGGAAUUGCUAGUAAUCGCAGAUCAGCAUGCUGCGGUGAAUACGUUCCCGGGCCUUGUACACACCGCCCGUCACGCCAUGGGAGUCGGUAACACCCGAAGCCUGUAGUCUAACCGCAAGGAGGACGCAGUCGAAGGUGGGAUUGAUGACUGGGGUG